rnacentral:piRNA from 1 species
UCAUCGUCUCAAAUGAGUCUU